UCUUAUGUGAGAUGACUAUUUAGUUGAGGUUAAAGAUCUGAAAUAAUCUGUAUAAGUGAUACAGUGCAUUGUAGGACAAUUUAGAUAUAUAAAGUCAUAUUAGUUUAAGUGUUAUAGUUACGGAAAGAUACAUGCUAAAGAUCAAUAUCUAAAGAUUAUACGUUUAGUCUUUUAACUUUGGAGCGUCUUUUAACUUUGGAGUAUUCAAACCCUUUUGAGCAUGUUAAGCUCCGUUUACAACAUUGAAAAUAUUGACCAUGCACUUUGAUUCUAGGAGUACAUAAAAGAAAAACUGAGUUAGUAUUAAAAGUAAUAAAAACACCAAACAAUUUAUAAAGAGACUUUAUUGAAUCAUUUAGCAUACGAAACAAUAUAUUCCUUAGUUACAAUACCUAUAAGAACCUUCCCAUAGAAAUCGAAAUAGUUUGAAGGGUUAACAUGUUCUUUCUCAGCAACCUUGACACAUUGUUAUAUUGACUCAUCAUCAAAACACAAAACACAUAAAAAAGUGAGUGAAUUCAAUCAAAAUCAUACCAAGUGUUUGGCCUCUAUGGCCGGAACCUUAGCCUUUAUGUAUCUCAUGCCAUGCGUUUGUUGUAAUGGUUUUCGAUAUACUUCUUAGUUGCAGCAUAUUUCUCCAUUGUUGAAUUCAAAAUCAACUCUUCAUCCUCUACAGCCUCUGACGUUGGAGAUGGCAUAAUAUUUGCUACCACCUGCUCUCCGUGAUCCGUUUCACAAUUCUACUUUUUUUUGUCUCCUAAAAACAUUAAAAAAUGUUGCUAUUUAUUUUCCAUUGGAUUUAUUUUUGUUGCAGCCAUCGACGGAACGCCAAGAUAUCAUCUCUACUUUCUUAGUCUUUCCUUUUCGCAGGUGGUUUAAAUUUGCUGAUGAAUUUGUAAUUUCGGCUUACUCAUGGUAUUUAUUUUAGGUCAAACUUUAAACUUUGUAAUUUUUAUGUUUUUUUAAAUUAUUAGAUUUUAUGAUUUGUUCAAAUAAAUGACUUUUAUAUGUACAACAUGUUAAAACAGAUUUUUAGUAUAACUUGAAAUUAAAUAAUAUUUAUUUACCAAAAUAUAAUAAAUUAGCCUUGAAAAUAUGUACAUGUAAAUAUAAUACUACUCCCAAAUUUAGUAAUACUAUUAGUUUUAAUAAAUUAUGUUCCUUUGCUUAUGAUAUAUAGUAGGGGUGCGCAUUUUACCUGAUACUUGAACCCGUAUCCGAACCCGACCCGAAAAACCCUAACCGAAAUCCGAACCGAUAUAGCUAAAUGCCUGAAUGGGUAUUAAUUAAGGAGAGAUUGGAUAUCCGAACUCGAACGGAUAAUAUCCAAACCCGAAUGGAUAUCUGAAAAUAACCGAACAUAUGUAUACUUGCCCUUAUAUUUCUUGUUUACAUCUUUCGUUUUAUUUAAAAUAUUUAUAUUAAUGUUACACAUACUUUAAGAUCAUAUAAUUACAAAAAAAAAUUAUUUGUCACUCAGUUAAAUCCAUAUCAAGUUAUUUGUUUCAUGUAUUAACAAAAGUUACCUUUAAAAUUUUAAAACAAUAGCCAAAUUAAUGUUUAUUUAUUUUUGAAAUGAUUUCCAAAUUUAUCAAUCAUUCAAUCCAUUAAAAAAUUAAAAAAUCAUUUAACUGAAAUCUCUGUAUUUUUAAAUAGAAUAAACCUAAAAAUGAAUUUUUUUUUUUUUCAAAAUCUCAAUAUCCGAACCGAAUCCAAAAUAACUGAAUCCGAACUAAAAUACCUGAACACGAUCUUAAGUAUAGAAAUACCAGAACAGGUUUAAUACUCGUAUACAGAAAUAUCCGACCCAAACCCGAACGGUUAUCCGACAAAUAAUCUUUUGCAUUUUUUUAUGUACACUUACUGUUUAAAAGUAAAAACAUUUAUAUUUAUUUCAAACUUAUUAAUAUCAUUAAAUUAUGAAACUAAUAUGAAAAUUAUUUGACAUAUAUAUGGAUGAUGAUGAUUUAUUAACGAAGGAGAAAAAGACGGUCUCCAUGUUUUAAUUUCAUUCUCGACUUUCCAUGUGGGGAAGAAACUUUAUAAUUUUAUACAAAAAUCUCUCCUCAGACCCAAAAUGCUAAUCUCUUUUGGCUUCUUCUUCAGUCUUCCCAGAUUCUCUGUAGAAGAGGAUCUAUGAAUCCAUCUCCUCCCCCUAUCUAAGCUCUUCUUCUUCUUCUUUUCCAUCGGUUACUCUGUUUCAGAAGAUUUUUUUGACUGAAGGCAUUCACUCUGUUUCAGAAGCUUCCAGAAGCAUCAAUGGCCGAGAGUUUAUCUGUUUAUACGAAAAGGACAGUGCAGAAAUUGUAGUAAAAAAACCAAAGCGAUCACAUCUAUUCUUAAAGAUGAUAGUUUUGGUGUUUGCAAUGGUCUGUUCUCUACAUUUGCUCCGUCUGCUUAAACCAGUUUACUGUCCAAACCUCACAACUUGUUCAAACUCGUAUCACUACUCGGAUUCAUUACCCAAAGCUAGAGACUUUCAAUAGGUAAGUAACUCUUCUUGUUUCUUUGUUAUGUUUGUUUAUUCACUUCUAACUUUGAAACUGAUCUGAAUGUGGGCACAAUCCGGUGAGGUUCUUUGCGAUACUAUCAAUACAGAGAUAAGGAAGCGGUUGGUUUGAUAUCCCUCCACCGAUUCGUUACCCCGUGCUUGAAAAUAUGACGACCACAAAUCAGUUAAAUGGAGAAGCUCCACUGCUUGUGUAGGUGGAAGCUCAAGCAACAACCGGAAACCUCGGUGUUAUCGGGAGUUAGCAUCGUUAUUUGCCGAAAUUGCCGCCGCGGAGAUGAAACGAUUCAAGAGAAACCCACGAAUAGAUCUAAGCAAAGCAUUGAUGACGAAUCGUGGAGGAGAGUCAAUAGGAUUUAACACGAAGCCAUUAAUCAAACCGUUGCAGGUCGGGAGAAGAAUCGAAAAAGUCACCCUAGCCGUCGCACGAAGAGGAGCGAUGAAUUUUGUUUUCUCGCUGCAGUCGUAUUAGGGAUAGACGGAGCUUAUUAUCGUUGGGCCGGAAACACUUCUAAUCUCAAAGCCCAUGAACACACUAAAGAACAAAACCGAGAAUGCUGAAGUUUAAUGAAAUGAUGCGGUUUGUCUUAUGGACA